UUAUAACUCAGCCUUUGAAACAUCCACAGGAUAAGAUAUCUCUUGAUAAAAAAAAAAGUCUUAGAUAUGUUUCUCCAGGGCUCCACUGGGCAUGAUUGUCACUGUGUUUCCCCAGGAUACAGUUUUGGAUAGCUUUUGUUAUAGUCCCAUCAGGUACUGCCGGUUGAUGUUUUUUCUGUGUUUUCUUAAGGGUCAACUGAGCAUGAUUUUGGUAUGAUUAUUUCAACCAAUCAGUACUCUGAGAAGAGCAACCCAGCUGAAUCAUGGGAAGACAUAAGAGGAAGCAUAGAGGCACAGUGACUUGAUAACACAGCUACGAAGUGGCCGCAUGGCAGGAUCUUUGCAUAUCUGUCUGAAAAUCUCUAAUGUUGAAGGCCAUUGCUUGGGCUGAAGGUGACUGAAGUGCCAGAACACACCGAAAUCUGAAGGUAGCUCAUUCACUAACUUAUUUAUUCAUUUAAUACAUAAGUAUUAAGUGCUCAUUCUGUGCCAAACACUG